rnacentral:rRNA from 1 species
UGCUACCGGGUCAUGCCGAGCACUCUGAAAGGACUGCCCAGGAGAACGGGGAGGAAGGUGGGGAUGACGUCAAGUCAGCAUGGCCUUUAUGCCUGGGGCCACACGCGUGCUACAAUGGCCGGUACAAAGCGCUGCAAACCUGCAAGGGGAAGCCAAUCGCAAAAAACCGGCCUCAGUUCAGAUUGAGGUCUGCAACUCGACCUCAUGAAGGCGGAAUCGCUAGUAAUCGCGGAUCAGCACGCCGCGGUGAAUACGUUCCCGGGCCUUGUACACACCGCCCGUCACACCACGAAAGCCUGUUGUACCUGAAGUCGCCCAAGCCAACCGCAAGGAGGCAGGCGCCCACGGUAUGGCCGGUGAUUGGGGUG